GAGCUUAAUCCCGUGUUCAGGGCUGCCAAUCUCUCUAGUGAGCAUCUUCAGGUGGCCUGUGAAGAACUCCAGUGUGUCUGUUGCUCCCAGAGUCGGGGUUUCACCGUGUUAGCCAGGAUGGUCUCGAUUUCCUGACCUCGUGAUCCACCCACCUCGGCCUCCCAAAGUGCUCAGAUUACAGGGAACUACAUCUUUAUGAAGUUGACUUCUCCUAUU